rnacentral:lncRNA from 1 species
UUUCAUUGAACAAAAGAAUUUACAAAUCUCCGAAUAUGUCCUGGAGAACGACAUAAGGCCAAUGGCCACUCAAACUAAACAUCUCAACUAUAAAUCAAAAGGCCAAAACAUGGAAGCCAAAACAAUGAUAUAUAUCGAUUAUCAAAGUACAGCCUGAUUCAGCUAAGGCCCCCACAUCCAGGACCUACAACAUCUGGAUAAAAACCUUCAAUGACCCUAAACACCUAAAUUUGUAUACCUCGAACAAUAGCUUCCGGAUGUUUGAUUUUCUCUUCAAAUAUCCUCAGAUCCCUAGCCUUAAUUGUACAUUUAGCAACUCUACUUAUAUACUUGGCACGCAUUUAAUCGGGACCUCUAAAAAUCUAUAUAUGACAACUUUAAUUGAAUUUUUUAUUGAAGAAUUGUCUUUUCCG